GGUGCUGUAGUCAAGUUGGUUAAGAUGCCUCGUUGUGGCCGAGGUGGCCCCGGUUCGAAUCCGGGCGGCGCCA
rnacentral:tRNA from 1 species